rnacentral:siRNA from 1 species
CAAGAUACUGUGACUCAAGGU